rnacentral:rRNA from 1 species
UACAGAGGUCUCAAGCGUUGUUCGGAUUCAUUGGGCGUAAAGAGCUCGUAGGCGGUUCGAUAAGUCGGGUGUGAAACCUCCAGGCUCAACCUGGAGACGCCACCCGAUACUGUCGUGACUAGAGUCCAGUAGGGGAGCGUGGAAUUCCUGGUGUAGCGGUGAAAUGCGCAGAUAUCAGGAGGAACACCAGCGGCGAAGGCGGCGCUCUGGGCUGGAACUGACGCUGAGGAGCGAAAGCGUGGGGAGCGAACAGG